GCUGGUUCUUAUGGCGAGGUGGGUACACCUUUUCCCAUUCCGAACAGAGAAGUUAAGCACCUCUGCGCCGAUGGUACUUGUUCCGCAAGGAACCGGGAGAGUAGGACGGAGCCAGCA
rfam:Candidatus Gottesmanbacteria bacterium RIFOXYB1_FTLL_47_11 rifoxyb1_full_scaffold_14805, whole genome shotgun sequence.